GCCAGGCACGGUGGAGCAUGCCUGUAGUCCCAGCUACUCGGGAGGCUGAGGUGGGAGGAUCGCUUGAGCCCAGGAGUUCUGGGCUGUAGUGCGCUAUGCCUGUCAGGUGUCCGCACUAAGUUCAGCAUCAAUAUGGUGACCUCCCGGGAGUGGGGGACCACCAGGUUGCCCAAGGAGGGGUGAACCGGCCCAGGUUGGAAACGGAGCAGGUCAGAACUCCUGUGCUGAUCAGUAGUGGGAUCGUGCCUGUGAAUAGCCACUGCACUCUGGCCUGGGCAACAGAGAUCCCGUCUCU
rnacentral:SRP_RNA from 1 species